CAUUUGACCGUCGGGGGGAGUAUACGUGUCUCUCUCGGUGGCUUGGCUUUACUUGCAGCCUGGCAAUGUUUUAAGGCGCCUGGCGUGGUGUGGCAGCUCAGUGACGCAAUGACGCCUCCUGGUGGCUAUAAGUGAUAGUAUUAGUGGCGCCAUCUAUUGCUUAAACAUGUUGGUUACGUGUUCCGGACCCCUCGUGACGUCAUCAGCAGACCGCCGCUGAUUGGCUGACAG